rnacentral:rRNA from 1 species
UACGGAGGAUGCAAGCGUUAUCCGGAUUUAUUGGGCGUAAAGCGUCCGCAGGUGGUUGUUCAAGUCUGCUGUUAAAGCGCGAGGCUUAACCUUGUACAGGCAGUGGAAACUGAGCGACUAGAGUAUGGUAGGGGUAGCGGGAAUUCCCAGUGUAGCGGUGAAAUGCGUAGAUAUUGGGAAGAACACCAGCGGCGAAAGCGCGCUACUGGGCCAUUACUGACACUCAUGGACGAAAGCUAGGGGAGCGAAAGGG